UUUGAACCGAAUGCUCACCCCUAAGUUGAAUGCUAUCAAUAAGUUAGAGGUUCAUAUCCUGGCAACUGCCCUAAAAAUUUCCAAUAUACCAAAAGAAAAAAAGAAAAAGAAAAAUGGGUUCACCCAUGAUUAUGGAUGUUUGUAUCUGAUAAUCUUUUCAUCAAAGACAUCAAUUUGAAAUUAAGAGAAUGCGGCGUGUAAAGUUUGGCUCUGUUGAUUUCUCUCCAUGUUUUCUAAACCCUUUUCAAUGUGGUUUAUUAAAGUAUUUUUAUCUGUUUCUUUAUAUUGGCAAAAUUAAGCUUUUUUAGUCACUUUUUGUUUUCUCAAAAUGCAAGUUUAAACGAGUCUCCCCCAAAUUUAAGUUUAAAACGACUUCGUAAAGAGCUUACCCAACUCUUAUAUUGUGUGAGCUAAUAUCAAUUUGCUGUUUUCUUGUUUGUAUAGGCUUCAUGUCGCAUUGGAACGCCUGGGAAUCUGAUGAGAUGGAUGAGAGCGUCUCUGUUGUGAGGAGAUGGGAGGACUUGGACACUGAUAUUUUAGUCAAGAUAUUGCAGUCUUUUGACAUCUUCCAACUAACUUCGGGCAUUGCUCACGUUUGUAGUUCAUGGCGUUUGGCCUGCUGCGAUCCUUUGCUCUGGAAAACACUCGACUUGUCUAUGUUGAAAUCUAAUUUCAUUAAAAUCCCUUUGGAGCCUUAUGUGUAUGUGGAUGGCCGAUCUGAUAAGACAUUGACUCGGGUGUUGAAGAUAUCCUUGAAUCUUAGCAAGGGAAACAUAACAUCAUUGAUAUUCCAUUUCAAUCUGUAUGUAAGCGACGAGCAGUUGACUUAUACUGCUGAAAGGUGCCCACGACUUAGAAGACUUGUUCUGCCAGCAUGGAACCGAAUAAAAAAGACUGGAAUAUGCAAGGCCAUACGCAUGUGGAGAGAUCUUGAAUCCUUGACAAUGCCUAGCAUAGCAAAUCCCCCUUAUCUUAUUGAGGAAAUUGCCAAUAAUUGUAGGAACUUCAGUGAACUCAAGGUCAUGGGCCCUUUUGACAUUUUCUUUGCCUCCACACUAGCUGCAUAUCUUCCAAAAUUAAAAGUUUUGAGCCUACGAUGUUCAAUGCUAAUUAAGGAUGCCUUGAUCCUAAUCUUGGAUGGUUUGCAAUGCCUAGAAGUGCUCAACAUAUCACAUUGCCUUUUGAUAGAAGCCCCCACACCCCCUGCCCCAAGACGAAUUAUUAGGGAGCUUGAUCAAACUAUCCUGGAGAAGGCAUCUCGGUUACGUGAAUUCUUAACUUGCAUGGAAGACUCCUGCAUUAUGUGCCAGAGGACAAAAAAUGAUGAAGGGCUCUUGCGGUGGUAUAAGUAUGAGGAAGGUUUGUGGAAGGCAGAUGAGGUGAGUUCUCUUGCUCUUUGAUUGGAGGAUUCUGAGAUCAUAUUUUAGUGCCUAGAAGCUAUAGGACAUGCACCCUUUUCCUGAUUAUUGCUUUGCUUUAAUGAUAGAAAUAGAAUAAAACGAUGUUUGAAUGGAUGUAAUUAAAAAGCUCUCAUCAUUGUGGUGUUGUGGUGAUAAAAAAAAACCUCCUCUCAAUGGCUGGUCAUGGAGAGGGUCUGAGGAUUUGCUGAUAAUCUGCUCCUUUUGCAGAGAUAUCAUUUGUAAUUGUGGUGAUAAUGUAUAUAUGGUAAAUUAUCCCUUUCUGUUGUUCCCAGGUCAUUUUCUCUUUCUUUCAGCAUUAUGCUUUUUAGAUAAGUUAAUCUAAUGGAAAUUAAUCUACUUUAUAACCAGCAUUCACUUUUUUCUGUCAUCAUCCUAUAUAGGAACUAAAGCUUUAGCAAUUUUGUCCCUGGAGAUGGGUAUAUUUUUGGCUAAUCAAGAAUAUUAACGUAUUCCUGACUCCUAGUUGUGCUGGUCAAUCAUUCAAAUGAUCAUGUAGACUAUACUGAUUAUUCCUGAUUUUCUAUCUCAACAAGGACUACACAUGCUAAUAUCAGAAUUUUAAUGUUUUGUCUGCCGGAAAUGAAGAUUGUACUGGCAGUUUAUUUUGACUAUUUUUGGGAUUUCUUUUCUUUUCAGUCACAUAUUUUAUUUUGAAAUUUUGAAGCUCGUAAGUUUUCAAUGUUGGCAUGUAAUCUCAUUGAAAACAAUGCAAGUGACAGUUGAAUUCUUUUAAUUAAUGUUCAGUCUUUUGGUUGACAUUUUUGCAUUAUACAAGUGUGUUGUCUUUUUUUCUCAUGUUUUGAUACCACAGCAUGGUAGCUGUAAAUUCUAUUAUUCUAAGUUUAUAGUGAAACAGGC
rnacentral:misc_RNA from 1 species